rnacentral:rRNA from 1 species
UCAGGAUGAACGCUAGCUACAGGCUUAACACAUGCAAGGUCGAGGGGCAGCGGGAUUGAAGCUUGCUUCAAUUGCCGGCGACCGGCGCACGGGUGAGUAACGCGUAUCCAACCUUCCGUACACUCAGGGAUAGCCUUUCGAAAGAAAGAUUAAUACCUGAUGGUAUCUUAAGCACACAUGUAAUUAAGAUUAAAGAUUUAUCGGUGUACGAUGGGGAGUGCGUUCCAUUAGGUAGUAGGCGGGGUAACGGCCCACCUAGCCAACGAUCAGUAGCCGGCCUGAGAGGGUGAACGGCCUCAUUGGGACUGAGACACGGUCCAAACUCCUACGGGAGGCAGCAGUGAGGAAUAUUGGUCAAUGGACGAGAGUCUGAACCAGCCAAGUAGCGUGCAGGAUGACGGCCCUAUGGGUUGUAAACUGCUUUUAUAAGGGAAUAAAGUGAGUCUCGUGAGGCUUUUUGCAUGUACCUUAUGAAUAAGGACCGGCUAAUUCCGUG